rnacentral:lncRNA from 1 species
AGCCCGCAGCAGCCCGGCUCGGCGCUUGGCUGGCCUGGGGCGCGCGCUCCAGAGUGAACCGUGCGUGCCGGGAGCCGGGAGUCCGGAGACCGAACCAGAAUGGAUGCCUCGAGCAGACACAAUUCCCCUUAUUCAGAUUAUCCGAAAAUGUGAGUCACGUCCCCUUAGGCAAAACAGGUCUCUAGUUAGGGUGAUAUUUUUUUAAGAGAUAAAUUCCAAUCUGCCUUCCAACUCACCCCAUCUCAGUUUGCUGACGUUGCUGAUUUUUUUUUUACCCCUAGUUCCAACCGUAUAUUUAUUUUACAUUAUUUCUCUAGUGUCGUUGUUAAUAUUGAAAAAGAAGUUUUCUCUUACAUUAGUUUGUAUUACAAGUAGUGUUUGCGCUGACCUUAUUUUUCUGUUUUCCAAUAUGCACACACAAACGCACAUCUGUUAUAGAGCCUGUUCCAAGCUUGAGAGGUUGACCAAAAAAUAUCUGGGAAGAAAUGAGCUCGUGAUGUGUGUGCAUUUUUCUUAUUUACACAUUUCAUUGCUCGUGUGUUCCUGUGAUUCUUUU